UNGGGCUUCAUCAUACCUUGUAGCUCCAGU
rnacentral:piRNA from 1 species